UGGGGAAUAUUGCACAAUGGGCGCAAGCCUGAUGCAGCCAUGCCGCGUGUGUGAAGAAGGCCUUCGGGUUGUAAAGCACUUUCAGCGAGGAGGAAGGUGGUGAACUUAAUACGUUCAUCAAUUGACGUUACUCGCAGAAGAAGCACCGGCUAACUCCGUGCCAGCAGCCGCGGUAAUACGGAGGGUGCAAGCGUUAAUCGGAAUUACUGGGCGUAAAGCGCACGCAGGCGGUUUGUUAAGUCAGAUGUGAAAAUCCCCGGGCUCAACCUGGGAACUGCAUUUGAAAACUGGCAAGCUAGAGUCUCGUAGAGGGGGGUAGAAUUCCAGGUGUAGCGGUGAAAUGCGUAGAGAUCUGGAGGAAUACCGGUGGCGAAGGCGGCCCCCCUGGACGAAGACUGACGCUCAGGUGCGAAAGCGUGGGGAGCAAAACAGGAUUAGAUACCCUGGUAGUCCACGCUGUAAAACGAUGUCGAUUUGGAGGUUGUGCCCUUGAGGCGUGGCUUCCGGAGCUAACGCGUUAAAUCGACCGCCUGGGGAGUACGGCCGCAAGGUU
rnacentral:rRNA from 1 species